CUUCUGAUUCAUACCAUCAAGAAAAAAUCCUGUGGUUGUUUCAACGUUGCCGUCGCUUUGCAAACAGAUGGUGCAACAGCCAGUGGUGAUCAGCAAAGUCAGCAGAGAGAUGAGAACUCAUUGGUUUAUUCUGCACCAACUUUCACCAAGAGGAAAACUGGCAAAGCAGAGAGAAGGAAUGUAAAAACAGCAGAGGGAGAGACAGUCUACACUGAUGUCAGGACGUUUGUGAUACAUUAACAAUCCGCUGGGUUUGUUAAUUAAAGCUAAUAUAAUUUUUGCCUGGCACACUGUGAGGAAAUAUACUUCUUCACAUCAAUUUCACAUCUAUUAUUGGUAGCAAUAUUUUAACUGGAUAACCUUUAAAAUGUUUAAUUUUGACAUUAUAUGUUGUCCAAUCUACUUGCCAUCAUUGUGUGACUUUUUGAUCCUGUUAUUUUAUAAAAGGGCAUGGAUUAUCAUCAAAAUAUCCACAUUUAAUCCACGGUUUUAAUGGGGUUUGGUGAUAUUCUACAGCAAUGUGCAUUGCAUAGCUAUUGGGUCUUGUUUCAUUUUUGGGCAUUUUUUAUAAUGCUAGAACUCAAACAGGUUUUUUGAAAGAUUCAACUUGAACGACAAGGAGGGUUGAGAAAGGUUUCCUUCCUGUCUCUUUUGUCUGAUGUGCAGUUUUAAGGCUGUUAACUUCUCCUAUAUGUAUAAAUGCAAUGCAAAAAUGAUUGUACUGAAUGAAAUUGAUGUUUGUGUAUAUGUGUU